CCUCGGAUCAGGUAGGAAUACCCGCUGAACUUAAGCAUAUCAAUAAGCGGAGGAAAAGAAACCAACAGGGAUUGCCCUAGUAACGGCGAGUGAAGCGGCAACAGCUCAAAUUUGAAAUCUGGCCCUCGUGGCCCGAGUUGUAAUUUGUAGAGGAUGCUUUUGGCGCGGUGCCUUUCGAGUUCCCUGGAACGGGACGCCUUAGAGGGUGAGAGCCCCGUACGAUUGGACACCAAACCUCUGUAAAGCUCCUUCGACGAGUCGAGUAGUUUGGGAAUGCUGCUCAAAAUGGGAGGUAAAUUUCUUCUAAAGCUAAAUACCGGCCAGAGACCGAUAGCGCACAAGUAGAGUGAUCGAAAGAUGAAAAGCACUUUGAAAAGAGGGUUAAAUAGCACGUGAAAUUGUUGAAAGGGAAGCGCUUAUGACCAGACUUUUUCCCGGCGGAUCAUCAGGUGUUCUCACCUGUGCACUUCGCCGGGUUUAGGCCAGCAUCGGUUUCUGUAGGGGGAUAAAAGCGGUGGUAACGUGGCCCCCUCCGGGGGGUGUUAUAGACCGCCGCAUAAUACCCUUACGGGGACCGAGGUACGCGCUCUGCAAGGAUGCUGGCAUAAUGGUCAUCAGCGACCCGUCUUGAAACACGGACCAAGGAGUCGAACAUUUGUGCAAGUGUUUGGGUGUUAAACCCUCACGCGUAAUGAAAGUGAACGGAGGUAAGAGCCCUCACGGGUGCAUUAUCGACCGAUCCUGAUGUUUUCGGAUGGAUUUGAGUAAGAGCAUAACUGUUCGGACCCGAAAGAUGGUGAACUAUGCGUGGAUAGGGUGAAGCCAGAGGAAACUCUGGUGGAGGCUCGCAGCGGUUCUGACGUGCAAAUCGAUCGUCAAAUCUGCGCAUGGGGGCGAAAGACUAAUCGAACCAUUAAAAAACCAGCGGUAAAUUUGAUUUUACUAGGUGGUUAAGAGGUGGCCCGAGAGGGCUGACGAGACGAACCAAAACCUAGGUCGCGGGCCGCGUUACCCUGUAGCUACCCUGUAGCUACCUGGGCGCGGGGCCCCGGCCGACACCGCUAAAUUGCGGGGACCUCCUAAUCGUGGUCGCAGGCUACCGCGGCGCGCCGAAAGGCGCGGCCGCACCGAGGAUAGCGACCUCGGGUAUGGUAAUAACGCCUGCGGCUUGGAAGACCUGCAGCCAACCCCGCCUUUAGGGGAGAGUUCACAGACUAGACAGCGGUGGGUCGGUGCGAGUGCGAACGGGCUCUGCCCUGUAGCUACCCUGCACCGGCCUAAGACAUAGUCGAUCCCGGCCCCGAAAGGGCGCCAUCAGU
rnacentral:rRNA from 1 species